AUUGAACGCUGGCGGCGUGCUUAACACAUGCAAGUCGAGCGGUAACAGGUGUAGCAAUACAUGCUGACGAGCGGCGAACGGGUGAGUAAUGCUUCGGAAUCUUCCUCGUAGUGGGGAAUAACCUGGGGAAACUCAGGCUAAUACCGCAUACGAACUACGGUUGAAAGCAGGGGAUCGCAAGACCUUGCGCUAUGAGAUGAGCCGAAGUCGGAUUAGCUAGUUGGUAGGGUAACGGCCUACCAAGGCGACGAUCCGUAGCUGGUCUGAGAGGACGACCAGCCACACUGGGACUGAGACACGGCCCAGACUCCUACGGGAGGCAGCAGUGGGGAAUAUUGGACAAUGGGGGCAACCCUGAUCCAGCGACGCCGCGUGUGUGAAGAAGGCCUGCGGGUUGUAAAGCACUUUUAGUGGGGAUGAAAAGCCAAGGGCUAAUACCCUUUGGUCUUGACCUAACCCAAAGAAAAAGCACCGGCUAACUCUGUGCCAGCAGCCGCAGUAA
rnacentral:rRNA from 1 species